rnacentral:rRNA from 1 species
AGUGAACGCUGGCGGUAGGCCUAACACAUGCGAGUCGAACGGCAGCACAGUAAGAGCUUGCUCUUACGGGUGGCGAGUGGCGGACGGGUGAGGAAUACAUCGGAAUCUACUUUUUCGUGGGGGAUAACGUAGGGAAACUUACGCUAAUACCGCAUACGACCUACGGGUGAAAGCAGGGGAUCUUCGGACCUUGCGCGAUUGAAUGAGCCGAUGUCGGAUUAGCUAGUUGGCGGGGUAAAGGCCCACCAAGGCGACGAUCCGUAGCUGGUCUGAGAGGAUGGUCAGCCACACUGGAACUGAGACACGGUCCAGACUCCUACGGGAGGCAGCAGUGGGGACUAUUGGACAAUGGGCGCAAGCCUGAUCCAGCCAUACCGCGUGGGUGAAGAAGGCCUUCGGGUUGUAAAGCCCUUUUGUUGGGAAAGAAAAGCAGCAGGUUAAUACCCCGCUGUUCUGACGGUACCCAAAGAAUAAGCACCGGCUAACUUCGUG